UACGAAGGGUGCAAGCGUUAAUCGGAAUUACUGGGCGUAAAGCGUGCGUAGGUGGUUCGUUAAGUCUGAUGUGAAAGCCCCGGGCUCAACCUGGGAAUGGCAUUUGGGACUGCAAGGCUUGAGUGCGGCAGAGGAGACUAGAAUUCCUGGUGUAGCAGUGAAAUGCGUAGAUAUCAGGAGGAAUACCGAUGGCGAAGGCAGGUCUCUGGGCUGACACUGACGCUCAUGCACGAAAGCGUGGGGAGCAAACAGG
rnacentral:rRNA from 1 species